AUUGAACGCUGGCGGCAUGCUUCACACCUGCAAGUCGAACGAGUGGCGGACGUCUGAGUAAUGCUUGGGAAUCUGGCUUAUGGAGGGGGAUAACGACGGGAAACUGUCGCUAAUACCGCGUCCCAUCGGCUGAGCCCAAGGGGGAUUGGGUAGUUGGUGGGGUACUGGCCUACCAAGCCGACGAUCUCUAUCUGGUCUGAGAGGAUGACCAGCCACACCGGGACUGAGACACGGCCCGGACUCCUACGGUAGGCAGCAGUGGGGAAGAUUGCGCAAUGGGGACAACCUGACGCAGCCAUGCCGCGUGAAUGAAGAAGGCCUUCGGGUUGUAAAGUUAGUUCGGUGACGAGGCGUUAAUCACAGAAGAAGCACCGGCUAACUCCGUGACAGCAGCCGCGGUAAUAC
rnacentral:rRNA from 1 species